rnacentral:rRNA from 1 species
AACGAACGCUGGCGGCAUGCCUAACACAUGCAAGUCGAACGAGACCUUCGGGUCUAGUGGCGCACGGGUGCGUAACGCGUGGGAAUCUGCCCUUGGGUUCGGAAUAACAGUUAGAAAUGACUGCUAAUACCGGAUAAUGUCUUCGGACCAAAGAUUUAUCGCCCAGGGAUGAGCCCGCGUAGGAUUAGCUAGUUGGUGAGGUAAAGGCUCACCAAGGCGACGAUCCUUAGCUGGUCUGAGAGGAUGAUCAGCCACACUGGGACUGAGAC